CACGUAGGGGACGCGCGUUGUCCGGAUUCAUUGGGCGUAAAGCGCACGUAGGCGGCUCGGAAAGUCGGGCGUGAAAUGCCGGGGCUCAACCCCGGGACUGCGUCCGAUACUUGCGAGCUGGAGGUAGGUAGGGGAGAUCGGAAUUCCUGGUGUAGCGGUGAAAUGCGCAGAUAUCAGGAGGAACACCGGUGGCGAAGGCGGAUCUCUGGGCCUUACCUGACGCUGAGGCGCGAAAGCUAGGGGAGCGAACAGG
rnacentral:rRNA from 1 species